GAACUGCGAUAAGUAAUGUGAAUUGCAGAAUUCAGUGAAUCAUCGAGUCUUUGAACGCACAUUGCGCCCCCUGGCAUUCCGGGGGGCAUGCCUAUCCGAGCGUCAUUGCUGCCCUUCAAGCCCGGCUUGUGUGUUGGGUCGUCGUCCCCUCCGGGGGACGGGCCCGAAAGGCAGCGGCGGCACCGCGUCCGGUCCUCGAGCGUAUGGGGCUUUGUCACCCGCUCGAUAAGGACCGGCCGGGCGCCAGCCGGCGUCUCCAACCUUUUUUUCUCAGGUUGACCUCGGAUCAGGUAGGGAUACCCGCUGAACUUAAGC
rnacentral:misc_RNA from 1 species